GACGAACGCUGGCGGCGUGCCUAAUACAUGCAAGUCGAACGGAAAGGUCCUGCGUUUGUGGGGUGCUCGAGUGGCGAACGGGUGAGUAAAACGUGAGUAAACUGUCCUUGACUUUGGGAUAACUUUAGGAAACUGGGGCUAAUACCGGAUAGGAGCUCCUGCUGCAUGGUGGUGGUUGGAAAGAUUUGGCGGUAUGAGCUGGACUCGCUGCUUAUCAGCUUGUUGGUGGGGUAGUGGCUUACCAAGGCUUUGACGGGUAGCCGGCCUGAGAGGGUGAACGGCCACAUUGGGACUGAGAUACGGACCAGACUCCUACGGGAGGCAACAGUGGGGAAUAUUGCGCAAUGGGCGGAAGCCUGAUGCAGCAACGCCGCGUGCGGAAUGACGGCCUUCGAGUUGUAAACCGCUUUCGACUGUGACGAAGCGUGAGUGACGGUAAUGGGUAAGGAAGCACCGGCUAACUACGUG
rnacentral:rRNA from 1 species